CAGCAGUGGGGAAUAUUGCACAAUGGGCGAAAGCCUGAUGCAGCCAUGCCGCGUGUAUGAAGAAGGCCUUCGGGUUGUAAAGUACUUUCAGUUGUGAGGAAGGGUGUGUAGUUAAUAGCUGCNCAUCUUGACGUUAGCAACAGAAGAAGCACCGGCUAACUCCGUGCCAGCAGCCGCGGUAAUACGGAGGGUGCGAGCGUUAAUCGGAAUUACUGGGCGUAAAGCGCAUGCAGGUGGUUCAUUAAGUCAGAUGUGAAAGCCCGGGGCUCAACCUCGGAACUGCAUUUGAAACUGGUGAACUAGAGUGCUGUAGAGGGGGGUAGAAUUUCAGGUGUAGCGGUGAAAUGCGUAGAGAUCUGAAGGAAUACCAGUGGCGAAGGCGGCCCCCUGGACAGACACUGACACUCAGAUGCGAAAGCGUGGGGAGCAAACAGGAUUAGAUACCCCUGGUAGUCCACCGCCGUAAACCGAUGUNUACUUGGAGNUUGUGGCCUUGAGCCCGUGGCUGUCGCAGCUAACCGCGUAAGAGNCCGCCUGGA
rnacentral:rRNA from 1 species